GGAAGCGUGCCAGAGUGGUUGAAUGGGCCGCACUCGAAAUGCGGUUUCGCCUUUACCGGCGAACGGAGGUUCGAAUCCUCCCGCUUCCG
rnacentral:tRNA from 1 species